rnacentral:rRNA from 1 species
GACGAACGCUGGCGGCGUGCUUAACACAUGCAAGUCGAACGGAAAGGCCCUGCUUUUGUGGGGUGCUCGAGUGGCGAACGGGUGAGUAACACGUGAGUAACCUGUCCUUGACUUUGGGAUAACUUCAGGAAACUGGGGCUAUUACCGGAUAGGAGCUCCUGCUGCAUGGUGGGGGUUGGAAAGUAUCGGCGGUUGGGGGUGGACUCGCGGCUUAUCAGCUUGUUGGUGGGGUAGUGGCUUAUCAAGGCUUUGAAGGGUAGCCGGCCUGAGAGGGUGACCGGCCACAUUGGGACUGAGAUACGGCACAGACUCCAACGGGAGGCAACAGUGGAGAAUAUUGCACAAUGGGCGGGAGCCUGAUGUAGCAACGCCGCGUGCGGGAAGACGGGCUUCGGGUUGUAAACCGCUUUCGCCUGUGACGAAGCGUGAGUGACGGUAAUGGGUAAAGAAGCACCGGCUAACUACGUG